GCCCAACACAUGCAAGUCGAACGAGAAUCGACGGAAUGAGACUUCGGUUGAAUGAAGUUGAGGAAAGUGGCGAACGGGUGAGUAACGCGUGAGGAACCUGCCUUCCAGUGGGGGACAACAGUUGGAAACGACUGCUAAUACCGCAUAACACAGUUGAACCGCAUGAUUUAACUGUCAAAGCCUUAUGUGCUGGAAGAUGGCCUCGCGUCUGAUUAGCUAGUUGGUGGGGUAACGGCCCACCAAGGCGACGAUCAGUAGCCGGUCUGAGAGGAUGAACGGCCACAUUGGGACUGAGAUACGGCCCAGACUCCUACGGGAGGCAGCAGUGGGGAAUAUUGGGCAAUGGGGGAAACCCUGACCCAGCAACGCCGCGUGAAGGAAGAAGGCUUUCGGGUUGUAAACUUCUUUUACCAGGGAUGAAGAACGUGACGGUACCUGGAGAAAAAGCAACGGCUAACUACGUGCCAGCCGCCGCGGUAACAC
rnacentral:rRNA from 1 species